AUGGGAAGGACGGACGGACGGGCGACACCCUGGGCCGCGGUACCACGCCACUCCCCUUCCGGAUUUCCCGCGCGAGCGCGGCGCCGUGAUUUUACGCUCCUGCCCCCUCGACGUGACGACGGGACGUCGGGACGCUCCACCGCACUGCGCCAGCGCGUGGGCCGCACGAAGCGAGGGCAGCGGGGUAAUUUCCAGGCGCCGCCUGGCCUCGCCGGCGACAGAGGCCACACGCACGCCUACUUGUCUCUCUCCUCGCGGAAACCGGGGCAGGAUGGGUGGGGGAGUGAUUUCCAGCUGGGAUGGUGGCGCGGAGAAGCAACGCGGGUCAGCUUGACGUAG
rnacentral:rRNA from 1 species